rnacentral:lncRNA from 1 species
CAAGAAGUGAAUCUAAUUUUUUAACUGCCGAUUUUAGGAAAUCUAAAUACAGAUCAGGUUUUCUUUCUUUCUUUCUUUUUUUCAAAUUUUUAAAGUUCUUUAAAGAGACAGAGUCUUGUUCUGUUUCUCAGGCUGGAGUACAGUGGUGUGAUCCUAACUCAAGCAACCCUCCUGCCUUGGCCCCCCAAAGUGUUGGGAUUACAGGCAUGAGCCACCAUGCCUAGCUCCACAUCAGGUAUUUCUAAUGAGAAUUGAACCUACAAAUUGAAAUAUUGUUUCAGAAAGAUUGCUUCAACAACAGAAGAUGGAGAUGGGAAGAGAAUGGUGGGGGAUGUGGUAGCAAAGAAGCUAUUCCAAUGAUCCAACCUCAAGAUCAUGCAAAUGUGAACUAAAGCAAUGGCAUCAGGAUGGAGCAGAGAAGAUGGACUGGAGAGAGUUUUAGGAGGUAGAAGUGAUAGAACUCUGGUGGUGACUGGCUGUAGGGAAAGAGGUCAAUCAUCCAUCCUCCUCAGAAUAGUUGGCAGGUCACCGUGUACUUUAAGAUAGGAAAUACAAGAGAAAGAUCAGAUUGGCCACUGAGGGAUGGGGGUUGGGGAGAAAAGGAGAAAAAGUACUUAGUUUCAGACAUAUUACAUUUGAAAAACCAUAGCAUCUAGACAGACAUUCUGAAGACAGAAAAAGAUUCUGCUCUGGGACUUCAGGAUGAGGUUUUAUCUGAAGGUAUAGUACUGAGAAGCCAUCAGCCUGUAAAUGGUGGCUGCUCCAUGGGAGUAGAUGAAGAUAUUGGUGUCAUGGGCUAUCAGGAAGGACAGGGUGUUUAGCUAUGUUGGCUGUUGUGGAAAAGUCGAAUAAGACAAGGACUGAGAAAUAUCUUUUUGAUCUGGCAAUCAUGUCACCCAAAAGAGAAGGAAUAACUUUGAAACUAUUUUUACAGAUGGAGGAAGGUAGCCUGGGCCCAACUGAACUCACUGUGUAUUCAGAAAAUAACCCACAGUUGGGAAAUUCACAGUGCCAUUGCUUUGAAUCAAAUCCUUACUUCAUACCAGGAUGUACCAUGAUUCUUGGCAACAUGACUGGGUAUUGAUGUCUUGUCUAGCCAAUGAAAUCCACAUAGCAAAGAUGUUAUGAAGACAUGGAAACAUGAAUAUGAAAUAAAAUCAGUAUAGCUAUUUGGAUGAUUAGCUAUCGACACAAGACAGUCCCUGGUAAUUGCCUUUAAUAGUAAGGUAGCACUAGGCCAUGAAAGGUGCUUCAGUGUACCUGCCUCAUUUGUGGCUCCCUUUUGGCCAUGUGACCCUAACUCCCCUGGUCACAAGUGGCUGAACCAGCAAUCAAUACCUGACCUGAAGGCAACCCUCUAUAGGCUGGCAAGUGGCCUACAAAGUUGCUCAGUGCUAGAGAACUGAGCCCAACAGAAGUACAUUCUAAUGUUUAGUGAUUGGCCAAUCGUAUUCUUUGUGAUGGUGCUGAUGGGAAGGUAGUGAUGUGCAUCAGACAUGCAGAGUUAGUAGCAGCUGGAGCAGACACAGAAGCCUCCCUAACAAUGGGCAAUGGAGAAAGGAACAACAGACAGUUCUGAAAGAAUACCAAGUGCUCCUAAGCCAAAAGCUAUAGUUAGGCUGCUGGAGGUACUGCCAGUCCUAAAUGAUGGCAAUGAUGGUCCAUUUUUCUGUGAAACUUGACUGUAUACCUGUUAAGAUUUUUUUGUGUUCUUUUUAAGGCUCCAUGAAUGAAUCUUUCCAAUAAACAAGUUUGUAACAAAGGCAACCUGAACAUUUCUGAUACUUGAAACUUGAAAAUAUCUAAUACAAUUUUACAUCACUUUCAAAUCAUGAGUGAAGAAGUUAAUGUGUUAUUGAAUUAGAUUCCCUAUACAUAUGUCAGUUACUUAUUCAAUCAAUAAUAUGUACUGAUAACCUACUAUGUGCCAGACAUGUA